rnacentral:pre_miRNA from 1 species
CGAUCGAUAAUCAUUCCGUACCUGAGGUGGAUUAUUCACUUGAUAUUGGAACUUCAGUGAUUUAAUCCAUCUGAGGAGCCGAAAUAUCGAUC